GACGAACGCUGGCGGCGUGCUUAACACAUGCAAGUCGAACGAGAGGACAAGAGAAGCUUGCUUCUUUUGGAAUCGAGUGGCAAACGGGUGAGUAACACGUAAACAACCUGCCUUCAGGAUGGGGACAAACAGACGGAAACGACUGCUAAUACCGAAUACGCUUGGGAGACCGCAUGAUCUUCCAAGGAAAGGGUGGCCUCUACUUGUAAGCUAUCGCCUGAAGAGGGGUUUGCGUCUGAUUAGGCAGUUGGUGAGGUAACGGCCCACCAAACCUACGAUCAGUAGCCGGUCUGAGAGGAUGAACGGCCACACUGGAACUGAGACACGGUCCAGACUCCUAC
rnacentral:rRNA from 1 species